rnacentral:rRNA from 1 species
AGGAUGAACGCUAGCGGCAGGCCUAAUACAUGCAAGUCGAACGGUGGUAGCAAUACCAUAGUGGCGCACGGGUGCGUAACGCGUAGCCAACCUACCCACAUCUGGGGGAUAGCCCGCCGAAAGGCGGAUUAAUACCGCAUAAGACAGCGGAGCGGCAUCGCUUGGUUGUUAAAGAUUUAUUGGAUGUGGAUGGGGCUGCGUGCCAUUAGCUAGUUGGGGGGUAACGCCCACCAAGGCGACGAUGGCUA